rnacentral:tRNA from 1 species
UGGGGUAUAGCUCAGUGGUAGAGAGUGUGCUUAGCAUGCACGAGGUCCUGGAUUCAAACCAGGUGCUUCCA